rnacentral:tRNA from 1 species
GAGGGCAUAGCUUAGUGGUAGAGUGCAAGCCUUGCACGCAUGAGGUCCUGGGUUCAAUCCCCAGUACCUCCA